rnacentral:rRNA from 1 species
AUUGAACGCUGGCGGCAGGCCUAACACAUGCAAGUCGAACGGUAACAGGAAACAGCUUGCUGUUUCGCUGACGAGUAGCGGACGGGUGAGUAAUGUCUGGGAAACUGCCUGAUGGAGGGGGAUAACUACUGGAAACGGUAGCUAAUACCGCAUAACGUCGCAAGACCAAAGAGGGGGACCUUCGGGCCUCUUGCCAUCGGAUGUGCCCAGAUGGGAUUAGCUAGUAGGUGGGGUAACGGCUCACCUAGGCGACGAUCCCUAGCUGGUCUGAGAGGAUGACCAGCCACACUGGAACUGAGACACGGUCCAGACUCCUACGGGAGGCAGCAGUGGGGAAUAUUGCACAAUGGGCGCAAGCCUGAUGCAGCCAUGCCGCGUGUAUGAAGAAGGCCUUCGGGUUGUAAAGUACUUUCAGCGGGGAUGAAGGGAGUAAAGUUAAUACCUUUGCUCAUUGACGUUACCCGCAGAAGAAGCACCGGCUAACUCCGUG